UACGUAGGGGGCAAGCGUUAUUCGGAAUUAUUGGGCGUAAAGGGCGCGUAGGCGGCUUUUCAAGUGACGGGUGAAAUCCCUCGGCUUAACCGAGGAACUGCCUGUCAGACUGGAAGGCUUGAGACCGGGAGAGGUGAGUGGAAUUCCCAGUGUAGCGGUGAAAUGCGUAGAUAUUGGGAGGAACACCAGUGGCGAAGGCGGCUCACUGGACCGGAACUGACGCUGAGGCGCGAAAGCGUGGGGAGCAAACAGG
rnacentral:rRNA from 1 species